CGCACGCGCGCAGCCGGUUUGGGUUCCGUGUAAGUACUACAGCCAUAUAGGUUUGAACCUAGAGGAAGACCAAGAGACGGGAGUAGGCAAGAAGGAAUCGACCGGGAUGAGCGAGAGGAAUGUCCAGUUGGCCAGAAAAGCAUGGUUUGUCAUCUGAUUUCUUGGAGCCUGAGCAGGAGACUCUGGGCCAAUGGGAGAUCAGGGGUGAGUCUGCUGGGCUAUGGAACUCUAGAGCAGCACAUCAAAAGACCUGCCACCCUGUUGUUGUCAGCUAUGUGAAGGAUGCAACUAUCAAGGCUUUCAAAGGCCACAUUUUUGGGGAUGACCAAAUGCAAUAAAGUUUUGUAUAAACUCAUACAUUUUGUUACAUUAUAAUACAAAUACUUUUUCAUAGAAUGUUUGUCAUUAACUUUUACUACUUCCCGUGGUAACAAACACAACACUUGGAGCUUACGAUUCAAAAUGUCUAAAGUGAAUGCUAAAUAGAUUUGUAUUCAUGUAUAUUAGACAUAACGGGUGUUUCAACUAAAAUAUACUGUAUAUCUUGUGGCUGUGAGAGAGCGAGAGAGACUGUUGCUGUACUCCCAGGUAAGGCUUUUGGUUCCGGUACCACUGAAGGCCACAAUCUUCAGUCAGGCAGCUUGAAGAUGUGUCCUCAUCCAGGCCCAUGUCACAGCAUGCAGUGUUCUGAUAGGGAGAUGACAAUAAAUGCAUUAUGUACCUUCCAUCACUGUCUCUAGCCUGGUCCCAGACCUGUUGUUUAACCCUUCAGAGUACACUGGCACACAUACGUCACUUCCUGUUGAACGAGGGAGAGCGAGGUUUGUUGUUU